GAUGAAGAACGUAGCGAAAUGCGAUAAGUAAUGUGAAUUGCAGAAUUCAGUGAAUCAUCGAAUCUUUGAACGCACAUUGCGCCCUUUGGUAUUCCGAAGGGCAUGCCUGUUCGAGCGUCAUUUCACCACUCAAGCCUGGCUUGGUAUUGGGCGCCGCGGUCGAUCCGCGCGCCUCAAAGUCUCCGGCUGAGCUGUCCGUCUCUAAGCGUCGUGAUUUCAUUAAUCGCUUCGGAGUGCGGGCGGCCGCGGCCGUUAAAUCUUUCACAAGGUUGACCUCGGAUCAGGUAGGGAUACCCGCUGAACUUAAGCAUAUCAAUAAGCGGAGGA
rnacentral:misc_RNA from 1 species